rnacentral:rRNA from 1 species
GGAAUCUUGGACAAUGGGGGCAACACUGAUCCAGCCAUGCCGCGUGAGCGAUGAAGGCCUUAGGGUUGUAAAGCUCUUUCACCGGGGAAGAUAAUGACGGUACCCGGAGCAGAAGCCCCGGCUAACUCCGUGCCAGCAGCCGCGGUAAAACGGCGCGGGCUAGCGUUGUUCGGAAUUACUGGGCGUAAAGCGCACGUAGGCGGACAUUUAAGUCGGGGGUGAAAUCCCGGGGCUCAACCCCGGAACUGCCUUCGAUACUGGAUGUCUGGAGGUCGAGAGAGGCGAGUGGAAUUCCGAGUGUAGAGGUGAAAUUCGUAGAUAUUCGGAGGAACACCAGUGGCGAAGGCGGCUCGCUGGCUCGAUACUGACGCUGAGGUGCGAAAGCGUGGGGAGCAAA